GAAGGCCUUCGGGUUGGAAACUGCUUUUGUACAGAACGAAAAGGUCUCUAUUAAUACUAGGGGCUCAUGACGGUACUGUAAGAAUAAGCACCGGCUAACUACGUGCCACCAGCCGCGGUAAUACGUANGGUGCAAGCGUUAAUCGGAAUUACUGGGCGUAAAGCGUGCGCAGGCGGUUAUAUAAGACAGAUGUGAAAUCCCCGGGCUCAACCUGGGAACUGCAUUUGUGACUGUAUAGCUGGAGUGCGGCAGAGGGGGAUGGAAUUCCGCGUGUAGCAGUGAAAUGCGUAUAUAUGCGGAGGAACACCGAUGGCGAAGGCAAUCCCCUGGGCCUGCACUGACGCUCAUGCACGAAAGCGUGGGGAGCAAACAGGAUUAGAUACCCUGGUAGUCCACGCCCUAAACGAUGUCAACUGGUUGUUGGGUCUUCACUGACUCAGUAACGAAGCUAACGCG
rnacentral:rRNA from 1 species